GCCCGUCACACCAUGAGAGUUGGGAAUACCCGAAGCCCUGUGAGCUAACUUUAGAGGCAGCAGUCGAAGGUAGAAUCAAUGAUUGGGGUGAAGUCGUAACAAGGUAUC
rnacentral:rRNA from 1 species